rnacentral:rRNA from 1 species
CACGUAGGGGGCAAGCGUUGUCCGGAUUUAUUGGGCGUAAAGAGCUCGUAGGCGGCUUGUCGCGUCGGCUGUGAAAACCUGGGGCUCAACCCCGGGCCUGCAGCCGAUACGGGCAAGCUAGAAUUCGGUAGGGGAGACUGGAAUUCCUGGUGUAGCGGUGAAAUUCGUAGAUAUCGGGAGGAACACCGGUGGCGAAGGCGGCGACCUGGGACAAUACUGACGCUGAGGUGCGAAAGCGUGGG